UGGGCCGGGUGUUACGCGGCCUCUGCCCGGUAGAGCCCCUGGCGUACUUCCCCAACGCCAGGUACUCCGUCCGGACAGAGCCCACGUGGCAUCCCCCGAUGUUC
rfam:Amycolicicoccus subflavus DQS3-9A1, complete genome.